GAAAUGACCUUUAAUGCAAACACUCAAACUAGAGUAAAGCGCAAUAUCUAGUUCGCCACUAGGUGGCAGGGCAUGCUGUUUUUGGCCAUGCGAGCUUUGCCUAAAGGGAAGAGAAGCUGAAAAAAACGGGAGCCAGAGCAGAAGUUAAUAUUAAGGUUGAAAUUAUUCAGAAAACGAAUUAUAUCCCUUAAGUUGAACCACAUUAAAGAUGAGAUGACAUUUGUUGUAAAACAAAAUUAUCUGGUGGAUUACAGUGGAUAAAAAAAGACAAAAAACCAGUCUGGCUAUCUGCAAUAGCAGUGGAUGUUACCUCACAGACUGUUUUUUUUUUUUGAGGGUUCUUCUGAUCCUGGAUUCCUGGUGUUCCUCCAACUGAAGGUGGAUUCCUCUCUGUUCGCCUUGGUGCCUGGUUCUCUGGUCUAUCCUUCAACUAACAGCGCUGCAACGGUUCCUUUUGGAGUUUGAUAUGGACGCUAAGUAUUGAAGGGGUGGUUAGACAGUUAAAAUAUUUGAGUGCACUCAAGGGUAACAAUUUUUUUUCUUUUUUUUGAAAGAUCUUUCCUUCUAUUUUGUUUCAUGAUAUCUCAAAAUUUGUGGCUGAUUUGUCAAAAUCAAUGGUAGUAAUGUAAAGUGAACUGAAUAUUGAAUCUGAAUAGGAAAGAAAAAAGAACAAAUUCUUUUAAUAAGAACUACAUUUAACUUUAUUCUAUUGUCCUGUGUUUUUGUAGUGCAAUCUAUGAGUCCUUAGCCCAUGUGAUUAAAAUAUAGCCAGCCUCCUCAUCGAAUCUAGAUUUAGAUAACUCCUACAAAUAGAUUCUUAGCCUGCAACAACGCAGAACUACCACCGUAGGGUUACACGGGCAUGCGGCUGCGGAC